UACGUAGGGUGCAAGCGUUAAUCGGAAUUACUGGGCGUAAAGCGUGCGCAGGCGGCUUUGCAAGACAGAUGUGAAAUCCCCGGGCUCAACCUGGGAACUGCAUUUGUGACUGCAUGGCUGGAGUGCGGCAGAGGGGGAUGGAAUUCCGCGUGUAGCAGUGAAAUGCGUAGAUAUGCGGAGGAACACCGAUGGCGAAGGCAGGCUUA
rnacentral:rRNA from 1 species